AGAGUUUGAUCCUGGCUCAGGACGAACGCUGGCGGCGUGCUUAACACAUGCAAGUCGAACGGGAUCCCGGCUUCGGUCGGGUGAGAGUGGCGAACGGGUGAGUAACGCGUAGGCAAUCUGCCCUUCGGUGGGGGAUAGCCCCGGGAAACCGGGAUUAAUACCGCAUGACGCGCCGGGAUCGCAUGGUUCUGGCGUUAAAGAUUUAUUGCCGGGGGAUGAGCCUGCGUUGCAUUAGCUAGUUGGUGAGGUAAUGGCUCACCAAGGCGACGAUGCAUAGCUGGUCUGAGAGGAUGAUCAGCCACACUGGGACUGAGAUACGGCCCAGACUCCUACGGGAGGCAGCAGUGAGGAAUAUUGGACAAUGGGCGCAAGCCUGAUCCAGCAACGCCGCGCGAACGAUGAAGCUGCUCUGCAGUGUAAAGUUCUGUAAGGAGGGACGAGGACCCGGGUAUUGCCCGGGGGGGACGGUACCUCUUAAGUAAGCACCGGCUAACUCCGUGCCAGCAGCCGCGGUAAUACGGGGGGUGCAAGCGUUGUCCGGAUUUAUUGGGCGUAAAGGGCUCGUAGGCGGGAUGGUAAGUCUGGCGUGAAAUCUCCCGGCUCAACCGGGAAGCUGCGCUGGAAACUGCCGUUCUUGAAUUGCGGAGAGGAAGUUGGAAUUCCUGGUGUAGCGGUGGAAUGCGUAGAUAUCAGGAAGAACACCGAUAGCGAAGGCAAACUUCUGGCCGCGGAUUGACGCUGAGGAGCGACAGCGUGGGGAGCGAACAGGAUUAGAUACCCUGGUAGUCC
rnacentral:rRNA from 1 species